rnacentral:rRNA from 1 species
UAUUACCGCGGCUGCUGGCACGUAGUUAGCCGGUGCUUCUUCUGCAGGUACCGUCACUUGCGCUUCGUCCCUGCUGAAAGAGGUUUACAACCCGAAGGCCGUCAUCCCUCACGCGGCGUCGCUGCAUCAGGCUUUCGCCCAUUGUGCAAUAUUCCCCACUGCUGCCUCCCGUAGGAGU